ACCUGACCAAAGGUCCGGGAUAACCCCGGGAAACUGGGGAUAAUACCGGAUAAAUCACAAGUACUGGAAGGUUUUGUGGUUGAAACUUCCGGGGCCUUUGGAUGGGUCUGCGGCUGAUUAGGUUGUUGCCGGUGUAACGUACCGUCAAGCCUGUAAUCAGUACGGGUUGUGGGAGCAAGAGCCCGGAGAUGGAUUCUGAGACACGAAUCCAGGCCCUACGGGGCGCAGCAGGCGCGAAAACUCUACAAUGCAGGCAACUGCGAUAGGGGAACAUCGAGUGAUACUCAUCUUGGGUGUCUGUCCUCCCGUCUAAAAAACGGGAGUUAGCAAGGGCCGGGCAAGACCGGUGCCAGCCGCCGCGGUAAUACCGGCGGCUCGAGUGGUGGCCGAUAUUAUUGAGUCUAAAGGGUCCGUAGCCGGCUUUGCAAGUCUUUUGGGAAAUCCAGCGGCUUAACCGUUGGUCGUCCGGGAGAUACUACAUUGCUUGGGACUGGGAGAGGUAGGAGGUACUCAGGGGGUAGGAGUGAAAUCCUGUAAUCCUUUGGGGACCACCGGUGGCGAAGGCGUCCUACCAGAACAGGUCCGACGGUGAGGGACGAAAGCUAGGGGCACGAACCGGAUUAGAUACCCGGGUAGUCCUAGCCGUAAACGAUGCUCGCUAGGUGUCACAACAAUCGUGAAUUGUUGUGGUGCCGUAGGGAAGCCGUGAAGCGAGCCACUUGGGAAGUACGACCGCAAGGUUGAAACUUAAAGGAAUUGGCGGGGGAGCA
rnacentral:rRNA from 1 species